rnacentral:lncRNA from 1 species
GAAUAUCAAAAUGGACGAGAUAUCAGAAAAACAAAGACACUUGCAUUUUGAAUUUUGAUUGCAUUAUUGUAAAUAGCACUUUCUGAAAUAACAAUAAUUACUCACUUUUGUUCAUUGCACAACAAUGACAAUACUAAAUUUACAUGUAAGCAAUAAUUUCUGAAUUUACUUUAUAUAUAUUUCAUUUAUAUAUUCCUGAACUAAAUAAAGAAUCACAAAAAACAAGUUAAGUCUGACAUUGUCUUCCUAUACAGCUGUGUUUUCUUUUUUAGAUUGUUCUGAGUCCUGUUUUGUUUCUUCACCUGAUUUUGUUAUUUCUUCUUCGCACUUUGGUUCUGUUUCUUCCUUAACAUUGUCAGCACUUGGUUUUACAAUUUCACUAUUAACUUUUUUAGGAUCAAUUUCGUCUGAUUUUAUUGAUACAGCAUCUGAUUUUACUGAUUGCACAACUGAUUUCACUGAUUCUACAUCCGAUAUUACUGAUUGUACUUUUGAUUUUAGUGAUUCCAC